CAAAUACAAUACACCCCCCUUAUAUAAAAGAGUUGAGUGAGUGGCAAGAAUGGUCUGAUGUUGGAGGUGACGAUAUUGAGGGUGGGGUUUUUGCUAAUCUUGAGAAGCUUGAUGUAAUAUCCUGUCGCAAUCUUACUGGGAGAUUAGCGUCAUACAGUCUCCCAUCUCUUGUGUCUUUGACGGUGUAUAAUUGCCCAGAAUUCGAAUGUUUUCCGGAAGAUGGACUCCCGUCAAAGUUAAACUCACUUCUCAUCGACAACUGUAAAAAAAUGAAUGAGAGAGAGCACCUUAUGAUGCAGAAUUCGAAAUUGGGUCUCCAAAUGCUGGUGCAGAAUUUUAAAGACAGAGAACUAAAAAGUAGAUUGGUUCGCGCAGGGUUUGUUUCCCAGCACUCUGACAGUUCUUCGGAUUCAUCGUCUGGAUCUGACAUUUGUUUGGAUUCAUCGUCUGGAUCUGACAUUUCUGACAUUUGUUUGGAUUCAUCGUCUGGAGGGGCUGUUUCCCAGCACUCUGACAGUUCUUCGGAUUCAUCGUCUGAAUUGUGAGACCAUCGACGGCGCCUAGUGGUUUGGCCAUCUCAACUCUCUUCAAAAAUUGGAGAUUUGGAGUUGCCCCGCGCUCCGAUGCUCGCCAGAUAGUGGACUACCCUCUUCUCUUUGAGACUUGCAGAUUUGGUAUUCCCCUGCUCUAUCUUCUCUUUCUUAUCGUGGACUGUCCUUUGCUUGAGAAACGGUGCCAAAGAGAGACGGGUGAAGAAAUAAAUUACAAAACGAUAUGACAACGACAGAGGGCUUGCAUUCACAGUUCUAGGGUCUUGCUUGAGCUCAUGAUCGACAUGCCAUAUGAAGGAGAAACAGACCAUUUCCAUUUCCUACGUUAUGUUGCACAUCCCAAUUCUCGGCUUUGCCCUUCCCAAGAAACUGGGAAUGGCAAAGAUGAGAAUUUCCUUUGUUAUCUAUUGAUUCUUUGAAAACCUGGGUAAUGUGUCUUCUUUCUGCCUUGUUUCUUGAUAUGCAGCAGUUUCGUGGAUAGUGAGUAAAAUUUCUUGAUAUGUUAAGACGGAGAUAAGCCAAGGUUAAGAUUGCUCGCAGGACCAAUAUUUCCAUGUCUUGAUGUCUGAGUUGCAAAGCUUCUCUUCUUAUCUGAACUUGCAGACUGUUCUUUAUCUCCUCCACUCAUCCACACUGUUUCCGAGCAGAAUGAAAAUCACAGGGAGAUGAGAGCCAAUUUUGGCAUCUCAUAAUACUUGUAGCUGUUGGACCCUUAUCUCAGUAAACACUUAUGAGACCUGUCAAAAGUGAAAACAGCUCAUAAUACUUGAAAUCAGUUCUUGCAAAAAAGACUUUGUUGCAAACAAUUUGCAGAGUGUGAAGAAGGGUCUCCUAAGUGGCAACAGAGCAAGGGCAAGAUCGUCCCAAGAUUGCUGACACUGACAUUUAUCAAUAUGGAUAUGACGCAGUUGCGAUGUCUUGACAUAGUUAUAAUAAUCAUCUAAUAAUCUGUCAGAUGCAGCAUAAGUAAGGAAAUAUUUUUGAGGCUCCCUACUAUUGGACCUCCUGGAGAAUCACCUUCUCGGAGAGGAAAGAGAGGUUAAUUAAUUAAGACUGCUCUCAUCGCCAACAUUGUCAAGAUUUGCAUUGUCCUGAUAGUCCCGGUAGUAAUGCUUCUACUAAUGGGGAGUGGUAACUUUUUAUGCCUUGGAGGAGGGCUAACUGAUGAAAGCUCCAUCUUCUAGGGAGCCAGACUUGAAAAGAGCAGAAAGGAAGUUCCCAGUUGUAGUGACUAGUGAUCCAGAGUUCUUUAGAUAACAGAAUACUUGGCUCCGAUGAUUGCCUACAUACCUGUGUUACUUUCUUUUUCUUGUAUAAUAACUGAGAUGGUCCUUGCAAAUACAAUGCUGCCUGAGUGAAACUGGAGAGAGGGAGGGAGGGAGGGAGAUUGGCCCAACACAUAAUGUGCAAGAUCAUAAUUGGUUUUAGCACAAAGCUUCUGGCUGAUAGUAAUGAAUAAGGAAUUGAAGAAUUAAAUGGUCUUAACUUAAGGUCAUUGUGGAAAAGAUGGAAAGAGAAAGGUGAAUUAUGAUGUGUGAUGUCCUGAUAGUCCCAGUUGCAGUGCUGCCACUGAAGUAGAAUUACAGUAAUCAGCAAAGAAACUUGGUGUCCAUGGCAACAGACAACACAUGGCCAAACAGUGUUGCAUUUUGAUUGAUAAGAACUGUCCUUACUGGCCCAUAAACAAUACGGGAACUAGAAUUGAAUUUCUACUUUCCCUUUUAAUGGGCCAACUUCUGGAAUUUGGAUCCUCUUUUCAUCAAAGUUUCUCUGGUUGUUAUAUAAUGCCGCCAGCUGCAACUGAAUGGUUGGCACUCUUCUACUUUCUCAGGAACAAUAAAGUCGUUGGCAAAAAACUCGGAGUUGUGUGUGGAAAAAAGAUGACAUGAGGACGAACCGUAUUGCACCUUCACUAUGGACCUGGAUUCUCUUCUGACCACAGUUUCAGGGUCAAGCUGGUAGUGAUGCUUAUAUGUCUUUUGUUGCUAGUGUGAUAUCAGCUCUGAAUAUGUUCCAAGUUUACAACAAUAUGGUGCUUCCAUUAAAGGGUUUGGCUGAACACCAAUUUUUAAGAUUUGGGAUUAUCCCUAUUGAUGUUUAUGAGUUGAUGCAAAUACGAUCGUCACUUGCUUAUGUGCAAUGUUGACUUAUAUUGGUGAAUUUCUACUGCUUAACAUCCAUGGGAGCAAAGCCUAUCUAUACAAAACCAGAAGUACAGAAUUUGGAUGUAUUGUAUCUUUUCCCAAUGGAGGGUUACAUGGACCCAGCUUGACAGAGAUGAGUAUCUCUGAUUAUUGGAAAUUGGGUUCCUGGCUGCAAUAUAUGCUCUCACUCCUCCCAUCUCUCUAGUUUUUGUCAGUAUCAGAUUGCCCAAAGUUGUCAACUAUUCUCGAAGGAGGAUUGCUUUCUCAUUGUCACUUGACUUUGGUAAACAUGAAGAAGUCGAGUCUUCUCCGAGUUUCCCAGCACUCUCACUCAUCUAACAAUGUACCAUCUAAAUCUAAAGACCAUGGGUGGCGCCAAGUGGUUUGGGCAUCUCAACUCUCUUGAAAUUUUGAAGAUUAGCUGUUUCAUUGCGCUUCGGUACUUUCCAGAUAGUGGUGGACUACCUAAUUCUUUUAAAAUAUUGGAGUUAUGCGGUGCUGUGCUUGCCUCAAAGUGGACUACCCACUUCUCUUAAGAUUUUGGAGAUUACGUAUUGCUCUGUGCUGCAGUGCUUGCCAGAAAAUGAGCUACCUGUUUCUCUUUGUGAAAUACAUAUCAUUGGAUGUCAUUUGCUAGAGAAACUGUGCCAGAGAGUGGGGAAUAUUGGCCCAAGAUUGCUCACAUCCCCCACAUAAUGAUCACUUUCAGGCGUUGAUUUAGGCUGUCCCAAUUCUUGUAAUCGUCAUUGUAAUCAUGCAAUUACCUGUCAGUGCCAAAGAGAGACGGGUGAAGAUUGGCUCAAGAUUGCUCACAUCAAGUGCACAGAUAUCAAUGGUGGAGAAACUGACCAUUUCCAUUUACUACGCAGUUUCGUGGAAAGUAAGCAAAAUUUCUUGAUAUGUUAAGACAGAGAUAGGCCAAGGUUAAGAUUGCUCGCAGGACCAAUAUUGCCAUGUCUUGCUGUCUGAGUUCUUCUCUUCUUAUCUGAACUUGCAGACUGUUGGUGUAUAAUUCUCAAAUUCUCUCUCAGUUGAUUAGUUUUGCAUUAGGGGGAUUUGGAAGUGGGUUGUUGGGGGGAGUGGGACUUGCGAACAUCACCAUCACUCAAAAGCGUGAGUUGUUUCUUGAGAUAGUUGGAAUGUUGAUCAGGCUAAUCAAAAUAAUCAAAAGGGAGAGAUCGGGAUGCAAAAAUUGAUGAGGCUGCUAUGAGGUUAUGGAUUUGAGGUUCUUUCAUUUUUUUUGGUUUUUGUUUUUGUUUUGUUAUUUUUUUGUUAUUGCUUUCUUUCUCCUUCAGCCUUUCUAUCUGUAUGGUUUGUUGAUGGUGUAUCAGCAACCAGUGUAAUCCAAAUAUAUGGUUUUGUUAAUGCAAAUGACAGUCUGAAUGUUUCACGAAUUCUAUAGCAUGUACUUAUAGAGUAAGUAGUAUGUGCACUGAUUUAAAGCAUAAGAUAAAUACCAAUCUGUUAAGGUUUUGGAUGAU